rnacentral:tRNA from 1 species
GCCUUCGUAGCUCAAUGGACAGAGCACCAGACUUCGAAUCUGUUGGUUCCGAGUUCGAAUCUCGGCGAGGGCG